AGAGUUUGAUCCUGGCUCAGAUUGAACGCUGGCGGCAUGCCUUACACAUGCAAGUCGAACGGCAGCACGGGAGCAAUCCUGGUGGCGAGUGGCGAACGGGUGAGUAAUACAUCGGAACGUGCCCAAUCGUGGGGGAUAACGCAGCGAAAGCUGUGCUAAUACCGCAUACGAUCUACGGAUGAAAGCAGGGGAUCGCAAGACCUUGCGCGAAUGGAGCGGCCGAUGGCAGAUUAGGUAGUUGGUGAGGUAAAGGCUCACCAAGCCUUCGAUCUGUAGCUGGUCUGAGAGGACGACCAGCCACACUGGGACUGAGACACGGCCCAGACUCCUACGGGAGGCAGCAGUGGGGAAUUUUGGACAAUGGGCGAAAGCCUGAUCCAGCCAUGCCGCGUGCAGGAUGAAGGCCUUCGGGUUGUAAACUGCUUUUGUACGGAACGAAACGGNCUUUUCUAAUAAAGGAGGGCUAAUGACGGUACCGUAAGAAUAAGCACCGUGCUAACUACGUGCCAGCAGCCGCGGNUAAUACGAAGGGGGCUAGCGGUUGCUCGGGAAUCACUGGGCGUAAAGCGCACGUAGGCGGAUCUUUAANGUCAGGGGGUGAAAUCNCNNGGCUCAACCUUGGNAACUGCCUUUGANACUGGGGGAUCUCGAGNUCCGGAAGAGGUGNAGUGGAACUGCUAGUGUAGANGUGAAUUCGNANAUAUUCGCNANAAC
rnacentral:rRNA from 1 species